GGGGGCGUAGCUCAGCUGGGAGAGCGUUCGGUUCGCAUCCGAGAGGUCAAGGGUUCGAAUCCCUCCGUCUCCA
rnacentral:tRNA from 2 species